rnacentral:rRNA from 1 species
UACGUAGGUGGCAAGCGUUUGUCCGGAAUUAUUGGGCGUAAAGCGCGCGCAGGCGGCCUCUUAAGUCUGAUGUGAAAGCCCCCGGCUCAACCGGGGAGGGCCAUCGGAAACUGGGAGGCUUGAGUAUAGGAGAGAAGAGUGGAAUUCCACGUGUAGCGGUGAAAUGCGUAGAGAUGUGGAGGAACACCAGUGGCGAAGGCGACUCUUUGGCCUAUAACUGACGCUGAGGCGCGAAAGCGUGGGGAGCAAACAGG